rnacentral:rRNA from 1 species
UCUCAAAGAUUAAGCCAUGCAUGUAUAAGUUCACGCCCUAGUACGGCGAAACCGCGAAUGGCUCAUUAAAUCAGCUAUGGUUCCUUAGAUCUUACAUCCUUACUUGGAUAACUGUAGUAAUUCUAGAGCUAAUACACGAUUCAAAGCCCUGACCUCACGGGAUGGGUGGACUUAUUAGAACAAAACCAACCGGCUUCGGUCGUUUGUUUGAUGACUCUGGAUAAUUUUCCUGAUCGCAUGGCCCUGCGCCAGCGACAUAUCUUUCAAAUGUCUGCCCUAUCAACUAUUGAUGGUACGUGAUAUGCCUACCAUGGUUAUAACGGGUAACGGGGAAUCAGGGUUCGAUUCCGGAGAGGGAGCCUUAGAAAUGGCUACCACAUCUAAGGAAGGCAGCAGGCACGCAAAUUACCCACUCUCAGCUCGAGGAGGUAGUGACGAAAAAUAACGAUGCGGGACUCAUAUGAGGCCCCGCAAUUGGAAUGAGAACAUUUUAAAACGAUUAUCGAGUACCAAUUGGAGGGCAAGUCUGGUGCCAGCAGCCGCGGUAACUCCAGCUCCAAUAGCGUAUAUUUAAGCUGCUGCAGUUAAAAAGCUCGUAGUUGGAUCUCAGAUCUGGAGCCGGUGGUUCGACAUCUGUUGUGACUGCCAGUUUCCGUCUCAUUAGCCGCUUGUUAGUUUGUGUGCUCUUUACCGGGUGCAUGAAUUACUCGGCACGUUUACUUUGAAAAAAUUAGAGUGCUCAAAGCAGGCCUUGUGCUUGUAUACUGUUGCAUGGAAUAAUGGAAUAGGACUUCGUUUCUAUUUUGUUGGUUUUCGGUUACGAAGUAAUGAUUAAAAGAGACAGACGGGGGCAUCUGUAUGGUGGUGUUAGAGGUGAAAUUCGUUGACCGCCGCCAGACAAACAAACUGCGAAAAGCAUUGCCAAGGAUGUUUUCAUUAAUCAAGAACGAAAGUCAGAGGUUCGAAGACGAUCAGAUACCGUCCUAGUUCUGACCAUAAACGAUGCCAACUGACAAUCGGGGUCAUUAUUAUCUCUUUACCCCGGCAGUCCCUGGGAAACCUCUAAGUGUUUAGGUUCUGGGGGGAGUAUGGUUGCAAUGCUGAAACUUAAAGGAAUUGACGGAAGGGCACCACCAGGAGUGGAGCCUGCGGCUUAAUUUGACUCAACACGGGAAAACUCACCCGGCCCGGACACAGUGAGGAUUGACAGAUUGAUAGCUCUUUCUUGAUUCUGUGGGUGGUGGUGCAUGGCCGUUCUUAGUUGGUGGAGUGAUUUGUCUGGUUAAUUCCGAUAACGAACGAGACUCUAGCCUGCUAAAUAGUUGGCACGUAUAACUUGCGUGCAUUCAACUUCUUAGAGGGAUUGGCUACUUCAAUAGCAUGAAAUUGAGCAAUAACAGGUCUGUGAUGCCCUUAGAUGUUCGGGGCCGCACGCGCGCUACAAUGACGAUAUCAGUGAGUGUCCUCCUUGCACGAAAGUGUCGGGAAAUCUUCUGAAAUAUCGUCAUAUCAGGGAUUGGGGCUUGUAAUUAUUCUCCAUGAACGAGGAAUUCCCAGUAAGCGCAAGUCAUAAGCUUGCGUUGAUUACGUCCCUGCCCUUUGUACACACCGCCCGUCGCUACUACCGAUUGAACGGUUUAGUGAGGACUUGGAUCGAGAUUGACGACGGGCUCCCGCUUUAUUGAUUUGAGAAGACUCCAACUUGAUCGUUAGAGGAGUAAAGUCGUACAAGUUCC